rnacentral:rRNA from 1 species
AUGAAAAUCCUAGGCUGGAACUGUCGUGGCAUGCUCUCCCCCACGGCAGUUCGCGAGCUCUUGGAUUUACAAGGGCGCAUCAAGGCGGAUUUGAUUUUUCUUUCUGAGUCUCAUUUGAAUAAAUGUAAAGCCGAUGAGCUGCGUAGUGUUCUAAGUUUUGAGUCGAUGUUUGUAGCUGAGUGUGAUGGUCGGGCCGGUGGCCUUGUUUUAUUU